rnacentral:rRNA from 1 species
GGCGAACGUUAGCGGCGGGCCUAACACAUGCAAGUCGAACGCGAAAGGUCUUCGGACUGAGUAGAGUGGCGCACGGGUGAGUAACACGUAGGUAAUCUACCCUUUGGCGGGGGAUAACGUUCCGAAAGGAGCGCUAAUACCGCAUAAGACCACGGAGUCUCCGGACGCUGUGGGAAAAGGUGGCCUCUUCUUGAAAGCUACCACCGAAGGAUGAGCCUGCGUCCCAUCAGCUAGUUGGUAAGGUAAUGGCUUACCAAGGCGAAGACGGGUAGCUGGUUUGAGAGAAUGAUCAGCCACACUGGCACUGGAACACGGGCCAGACUCCUACGGGAGGCAGCAGUGAGGAAUAUUGGGCAAUGGGCGAAAGCCUGACCCAGCCACGCCGCGUGAGUGAUGAAGGCCCUCGGGUCGUAAAGCUCUGUGGAGAGGGACGAAAACCCUGGUUUCAAAUAGGCUCCAGGCUUGACGGUACCUCUUUAGCAAGCACCGGCUAACUCUGUGCCAGCAGCCG